rnacentral:rRNA from 1 species
GAUGAACGCUGGCGGCGUGCCUAAUACAUGCAAGUCGAGCGAACGGACGAGAAGCUUGCUUCUCUGAUGUUAGCGGCGGACGGGUGAGUAACACGUGGAUAACCUACCUAUAAGACUGGGAUAACUUCGGGAAACCGUAGCUAAUACCGGAUAAUAUUUUGAACCGCAUGGUUCAAAAGUGAAAGACGGUUUUGCUGUCACUUAUAGAUGGAUCCGCGCUGCAUUAGCUAGUUGGUAAGGUAACGGCUUACCAAGGCGACGAUGCGUAGCCGACCUGAGAGGGUGAUCGGCCACACUGGAACUGAGACACGGUCCAGACUCCUACGGGAGGCAGCAGUAGGGAAUCUUCCGCAAUGGGCGAAAGCCUGACGGAGCAACGCCGCGUGAGUGAUGAAGGUCUUCGGAUCGUAAAACUCUGUUAUUAGGGAAGAACAUAUGUGUAAGUAACUGUGCACAUCUUGACGGUACCUAAUCAGAAAGCCACGGCUAACUACGUG